rnacentral:lncRNA from 1 species
UUAGUUGUACCCUUUAUUUCAUCUUUUGGUUUAUGAUGAAAAGUGUGAUGUUAAUGGAUGUGUAUAAAUGAUGUAAAUGGAUGUAUGGCAUAUGUUUUUGAGGAACGAUAUGUGAUGUAUUUGGGGAAAAAAAAUGAAUGUAAAUUAUGGUAAGCUUGUAUUUGGUUAAAUGUAAUCAAGAUACAUGUGUGGAUGUAAUAGUAGUAGUACUUUCACUUGCUUGGUUGUUGCUUGCCCUCAUGGAAGCCAUGUAUGACUAGAUUUUCGUUUGCGCAAAUUGUUAACAUGUUGAUGUUGUGUGGAGCCUUGGGUGGACAGGGGAGAUGCUGUCCGUUCGGCGUCUGUAGACGUACCUGAACCGACCAUAUUGGCAGUCCCAGGGUGUGACAGAUAAGGUGGUAUUAGAGACGUGAAAAGUGAAAGUAUAGGAUGGACCUGGAAAUCCUAGGAUGGAAACCUUAAGGAUUUAAGUACGUGAGCAACGUGGAAUCGACUUAAAGCGAAAGUGAAACGGAUUGGGUCGGUUAGUAGUAUGUCUCUAAGGGUAAUUAGGGACUAAUCGAAGUUGAUAUUUGUUCUCAACUCGAGGGGUUAUGUUGGCGGCCGACAACAUAAUGCCUAGGGAUGAGAAUGGAUUCACUUGAAUGCUUUCGCCUGAUUUGGUUUUGCUUGGGUGUGUCGUAGUGACAUCUUAGCGUCGUAGGUCAAGUAACUGAUGUGGUUGUUACAUUUCAAGAAGCGAUGCCACGCGGUAGACCUCGAACAAGAUUGGGGCCUGAAGAGCCGAGUUCGGUCCCCGAACAAUCCGGAGCGAUCGGCGAUGGGGAGCUCCGUGAGCAGUUACCUGCACUUAUGGGAAUAGUGCGACAGCAAACGGAGUCUGUGCAACGCCGGGAGGAGCAAAUUAAGCUGCUCCAGGAGGCCUGGGCGCAGAAGCAGGCGGCGACGGCUCAGGUGGGCGUCGAGCGACCUGUGCCCCUUGUCGUGAUACCGAGUGCGACCGAAGGUGUGGCCGCGGCGACUAUACCAGUUGCAGCACGACCUGCACCGUCGAUGUUGGCAACCAGUUCGGGCACUUCAAAUCCCGAGAGUGCGGCAAUGGAGGCGGAGAGGGAGUGUGCACUCGCGGCCCUCGUAAUGUUUAAAAAGUUUAACCUACCUAUGUUCGAAGGGGAAAAUGGAUGGUGGAGUCAUGGAUCAACUCGCUGGAGACACUCUUCGAUUAUCUUUAUACCUUGGAGAAAGAUAAGGUGCACCUCGCCAAGCACUGUUUAGAAAAGUCGGCGAAGGUGUGGUGGAGGAGGGUAAAGCGGGAUCGACCUUCUAACCUUCUGUCUAUAGUUUGGGAGGAGUUUUAGGGGGUAAUGUUCUCUAAUUAUUUCCCCGAUAGUUAGAAGAAAAAGCUUCAAGAUCAAUUUCGAAAGCUAAGACAAGGAAAUUGCUCGGUGGGAGAGUAUGAGCGAGAGUUUUCUCACAUCAUCGACUGUGUUCCUAAUGUAGUUCGGGACGACAAGGAUAGGGCCGAUUGGUUCGAGCGUGGACUUCGAUCGGAAAUUUACAAGGCGGUACAUAUUCUCAAACUCACGACCUUUGCGGAGGUGUUGGAUCGGGCUUUGUGGGCGGAGCACGGUAAUGCCUAUGCGCGUGUGGAGCGCGAGUCCCUGGAAAAGGAAAGGGACAAGAGAAAGAAACGGACGGCGGGUGGGACCGGGAGUCGGUUGAGUCCUAAGAGGCCCCCUCGGUAUCCACGACCGCAGUCAAGGAGCUGGGGACCCAAUUGAUGUGUCAUUUGUAGCGGAGAUCAUCGACCGCCGAGCUGCUCACAGCAUGAAGGGAGGUGUUUUAGAUGUGGCCAAGUUGGACGCAUUAGUCAGGAGUGUCCAAGUAGAGCAUCGCCUGCCCCGACGGCUGCAUCUGUUCAGUUUACCCCGAGACAGCUCGCGGGACUGCCACUUGCUAUGUCGGCUGGAGCUCAUCGGUGCCACUUCAGCCAAAGGGAUCUCGAGCGGCGCUGAGUGGCCGAGUUUUUGCUGACCAAGUGGAGGAGCCUGUCGUAGUCGACAAUGUCGCGGCAGGUAUUAUUUUCAUUAAUGGAACCAGGACUAGAGCAUUGUUCGACACUAGUGGAUCAAAUUCGUUCAUUAGCAUGUCGUUUGCUAAAGCUCAUGAUAUUGAGAUUUCGGAUAGUCCGGAUGCUUGGUGGGUUUAUGCACCCGAGCACACCUUUAGUGUCAAGGAAGAAUGUGCGGCUUGUCCAGUGCAAAUUGGCGAUUGGAUUAUGCCGGCGGAUUUGCUUGUGUUGAGCCGCAUGAAAGGCUUCGAUAUAAUUCUUGGAAUAGAUUGGCUCUCGAAAUAUUAUGCCACAAUUGAUUGCGAGAGCAAGGUAAUCACUUUUCGUGAGCCUGGUCAGGAAGAAGUGGUCUAUCGUGCAUGUAAAAGCUCGCACUUUGUGAUGACGGUGUCGGCGUCGAGAGCGAGGAAGUUUAUCAGUGGUGGAUGUGUAGCCUAUUUGGCGUCAGUAGUGGAGACUCAAAGGAAGCUCCCAGCACUUGGGGAUAUUUCGAUAGCAUGCGAAUUCCUGGAUUGCCACCGGUCCGGGAGAUCGAGUUCGUCAUUGACUUGGUUCCCGGGACAGCGCCAAUUUCGAAGGCCCCGUAUAGAAUGGCAUCGGUGGAGUUAAAAGAGUUGAAGGCUCAACUGCAAGAUCUACUUGACAAAGGCUUCGUGAAGCCGAGUGUGUCGCCGUGGGGAGCUCCGGUGCUAUUUGUAAAAAAGAAGGAUCGAACGCUUCAGCUUUGCGUAGAUUCUCGCGAGCUGAACAAGGUGAGGAUCAAGAAUAAAUACCCGUUGCCUAGAAUUAAUGAUCUGUUCGACCAGUUGCAAGGGUCUCGAGUAUAUUCGAAGCUUGAUCUUCAGUCGCGAUACCACCAGUUAAGGAUCAAGCCGGAGGAUGUGCAUAAAACGGCGUUUCGUACACGUUAUGGCCAUUAUGAGUUCAAGGUAAUGUCGUUCGGGCUUAAAAAUGCCCCUGCCGCAUUUUUGGACUUGAUGAAUUGGGUCUUCCGACCGUUGUUAGAUCGAUGUGUCGUGGUAUUUAUUAACGACUUAUUGGUUUAUUCUCGGAGUGAUAAAGAGCACAAGGAGCAUUUGAGGACUGUAAUGCAAAUUCUCCGAAAAGCGAAGCUUUAUGCUAAGCUGAAGAAGUGCGACUUUUGGCUUCGUGAGGUCGCCUUCUUCGGCCACAUGAUUUCCGGUAGUGGCGUCUCGUUUGACCCGAAGAAAGUUGAAACGAUUAAAGAUUGGCCUCGCCCGACUAACGUCACGGAGAUUCGCUGUUUCCUUGGUAUUGCGGGGUACUAUCGGCGGUUCCUGGAGGGGUUUGCCAAGAUAACUACUCUACUGACGUGCCUUGCACACAAGGGAACAAAGUACGUGUGGAGCAACGAUUGUGAUCGGAGCUUUCGGGAGUUGAAAGAAAGAUUGACUUCAACCUCGGUACUCGCUCUACCGAUUCCGGGGGAGAGUUUUGUGGUGUAUAGUGAUGCUUCUUACAGUGGUCUGGAGUGUGUUCUGAUGUAAUGUGGGCGAGUUAUCGCCUACACUUCUCGCCAAUUGAAGAGCUAUGAGAAGAACUACCCUAUACAUGAUCUUGAGCUAGCCGCGAUGAUAUUCGCGUUGAAGCUGUGGAGGCACUACCUAUACAGCGAGCACUGCGAGGUUUACAUAGAUUAUAAAAGCCUCAAGUACUCUUGUUCACCCAGAAGGAACUGAAUAUGCGACAACUGCGGUAGUUGGAAUUAUUGAAGGACUAUGAUGUCACCAUUCUAUACCACCCAGAAAAAGCCAAUGUGGUGGCCGAUGCACUGAGUAGAAAAUCAGUGGAAAACCUGGCUAUAGCAAUUACACAACAACCGUCAUUGCAGAAUGAGAUGCAACGGUUUGGUUUUGAAGUAGUAGCUCUAGAGGUUCCAGCUAUUCUAGCCGCAUUGGUGAUUCAACCGACCUUAUUGGAGCGGAUUAAGGAUCGACAAGCUAUGGAUCCAUAUCUCCAAAAGGUGCGGUGUCACGCCCGGGCCUAGCGAAAACCCGCCCGCGCGUGCAUAGAUCCGCCGUGCACACCAAACAUCCCCGAUGCACACAAGACGUCUACUAAAUAAGGAGUGAACAAGAGUAAAAUCCUAACAAGGCUAUCAGAGCGAGUAAAAUAAAACCACUAAUUGUCACGCCCUGUGCCCCGCCUAUUUGGUCGAGUUUGGGUACGUCGACAGGCCGCCGAACGGAUAGUCUCCCUUGUACGUUCAAGGCGCCGCAAUCAAUACAAUACACGAGGUUCCAACCAAGAACGCAUUCAAUCAAAGAUUGCAUAAGGAAGUAUCAAAAACAUAACACCUAAUGCUAUUACAAGCAUUCCCAUUACAUGCAUUUACAUCACAAUUUUUCUUUUACAUUCAACUUCUAAAUAAAAUCUAAGUUAUUGCAACUUUAUUUACAAGUUUGAUACAUUUUGAUCCUUUCAUUUCCUUUCCAACCCUAUGCUAUACCAACUCAAGGUACCGCUAUCUCUGGUCUCUGGGGUAGGGCACUACCUACGGAGCUACGCCUUUUCCUCGCGCCGCCGCGCCGCUCAUGUGCGAACCUGUAAUACCCCAAAGCAACGUGGGGUGAGAACUAACUCCAUAGUUCCCAGUGGGUACGGCCACCCAAGGAAAAAGCUCGACCAACAGGUCCAAAGGAAACAACAACAUGUUAGUCCAAUAGAUAGAUAUAAAAUUAUAAAUAUGCGACUAACAUUACCAUGCUUUGCCUCACAAAUGCAAUAAUGCUAUGCUAUAUGCAAAUCAUGCAAUAAUGCAAUAUCGCAAGUAGAUCACCCGAUUCUACUUCUAUCUCGCUGUCUAGCUCAUAACCAACUAGCUUCUAAGGUUUCUACUGUCUUAGAUCCAAGCUAUGUACCACUAGUCCUUAAGGUUCCAUCUAUCUUUUUCUAGCUAGCCACCCGACUCGGUCUUGAGUCAAUCAUAUGGAAGUACCGCGCUCUGUCUGGCUCGAGGUAAAGGAACCCUCACAUACACCUUGGCCUUAAAUCCACACUACUAGGACAUCACUAUAGCUCAUAAGCUUGUCACCCAAUCACUUGGCUAACCCGAAGGUUCGCCCUCGACUCACAUCUCAAAUCUCAUAGGUGAGGAGUCCCAGCCGCUCGACUCACCUGAGACCGCCUGCGGACAGCUAGCCGCUACCCUCUCGUGUGACUAAACCUCUGGAGUGCACGGCUUGUGUGGAGCGACCACCACAAGCAUAAAACAAGCUAUGUGAGUAUGAUCCAAUCCUCGUCAACCGAGGAUAUCCUGUCAACUAGGGUCAUCAUCAUCAUGGAAUCAAUGUGUUCUUAUACUCAUCAUCCUAGUGUUUCAACUACACUAAGUUCUCAUAUCAUACAUCAUGACUUAUGUCAAGUGUCUCAUCUACACUAGGUCCCAUGCCACUCACCUAGAUCUAAUUGACUCUAGGUUCAAUGCCCUCAUCACACAACCUAGGUUUAAUUAACUCUAGGUUCAAUCCACAACCUAUGUUCACGACACUAGGUUCGAUGUCAUUCUUCCUAGAUCUUGCUUCUAGGUUUACUUGUUCAACCUAUGUUCACGACACUAGGUUAAUGCCACUCGAUCUAAUUGACAUCCUAAUUGUCCACAUCGAGUACUAUAGUUACAUGUUCUCAGUUCUAAUGUCGAAUUCUCUAAAUGGCCUAGAGUUAUCGACCAAGUCCACGUGCAUAUCUACAUGAUCUAGCAAUAUGCUCACCUUGCUCACAUGCCUCAUAAACUCACAUAAUUGACAAUAUGUUAACGUUCAUUUAUAUGCUCUAGUACAUGUCAACAUGAAUCUAUCCACUAGCAUGAAUUCUCAAUGCAUCAACAUUCAAUUAUCCACUGGCAUACAUUCUAUUUAUAUGCUCUAGCAUGCUCUAGUACAUAUCAACAUGAAUCUAUCCACUAGCAUGUAUUCUCAAUACGUCUACAUGCAAUUAUCCGUUAGCAUACCUUCUAUUUAUAUGCUCUAGCAUGCUCUAGUACAUAUCAACAUGAAUCUAUCCAUUAGCAUGUAUUCUCAAUGCAUCUACAUACAAUUAUCCAUUAGCAUACCUUCUAUUUAUAUGCUCUAGCAUGCUCUAGUACAUUCAUGAUGCCAUCAUACACAUAUUCUAAUCAUGCUAACAUGCAUAUAUAUAUCCAUCCAAGGUAGCUAUUACAUAGUAUCUCAUGCAUUCAUCCUAAGCAUUCACCUACGCAAUCAACUACCGUUACACAUAUAUAGGCAUCAACGAGAAAGCACAUUUCUCUUCGAUAUGUAGGCGACCUAGUCGCUUCGGUAAGCACAACCCAUCUCGAUUCGCUUUCCGAUUGCUUGUUGACACUUGCAAUCGGCUUUCCGCGGCACCCGCCGCCCGGCUCGGCCUGAUCUUACAGUUGCACACCAAUCGUGCGUCGAUUCGCGGCCCCGAAAAUUAUAGGUCUACAGCUUGAUGCCGCGAUGCCACAAUUCCGUUUUCAUGAUUUUAGGACGUCGCCUCGGCCCUCGAGGCGGAAACGAAGCUAAAUCGUUCGUUUCUUCAAUAUCUUCGUGUAGGCUCGACGAAUCGCCAAACCGACUUCGCCAACGCGUCGGAAUACCUAACAAUUAGGUUUGUAUAGGGUCAACUGAGAUCAAACCCCCAUAUAUAUACCAAAACCCUCUUUGGAUGCCCUAUUUUGCAACUAUUGCAAAAUCCACAGUUUAAUCUCUAGAUUCUAGCAUUUAUCACCUAUUUAGCAUGCUAGGAUUCCAAAUAAACCAAUUCUAGAGAUUAAAAGUAUGUUCUAGAAAGCUACCAUGGUUGCUACCAAGAAGCUUACCUCAAGCUUGCUCUAAUGGACCAAAGGAGAAAUAGAGAAGAAGAAGCUCCACCUCUUAGUCUUCUUCUCCACAUUCUCCUCCUCAAAUCCCUCCUCUUCUUGCUUCCUUAGAUGAGAGAGAGAAUGUGAGAGCUUAGAGGGAGAGAGCUCCUAAUUAGGUUUUAGGGUUGAGAGGAAUGAGAGAAAGAUCUCAUUCCAUCUCCCGCUUAACCCCACUUGCAAACAAUUGCAAGAAAGCCCCUCAACUUCCAAACUAUGUGACAGCCCAAACUGGGCAAAUUCGGGCUAUGGAGACCGGUCCUUGGAGUCAGGGACCGGACCCCCAUGGCCCAGAAAACUGCAAUUUUCAGCUUUUGUUGAUUUCACUCCGUUUUGCUCCGUUUUCGCCCGUUAGACCUCCGAUUCGUCUCAAAUCGAACCGAGACUCUCAAAAUAUGAUUUCGAGCGUAUUUACAUCAUCUUUUCAUCCACACUAAUGCCGGAUUUAGUUGAUGGCCCAACAUAGCCUUUCGGGUUCCAUUUUCGCGCCCAAUGCGCACCGAAAGCCCGAAUACUUCCAAACUUCACCGGAACCAUUCAAAUGGCUUUUCAACCAAAUGUACACCGUAACUUCAUAAUUUUAGAAGUCCGGUACCUUACACUAAUAGUCUGCAACAUCAACAUCCACAUGAUAUACGAAGAGUACAUAUAACUGAAUACAAAAAGACUAAUAGAUAUCAAAACAUAUACAUAAUAUAUCUUUUCCACAAAUACAAAAGGAAAGAUGCUAUCGGGUCCAUCUAUAUAACUCCGCAGAGCCUCUAGCUAGUCGCUAAACCCUUGCCCCGAUCCCUAGCCUCUCCUACCGCGGAAGGCUCUAAAACAAAAACCAACAAUCAAUAGAGGUGAGAACUAUUAAACAAUAGUUCCCAGUGGGUAAGCCGCCGAGAGUGGCAAAAUACACCACUAGGUCAACUGAGACAUGCUAUGAGAUGAUAAGUAAACAACAUAUGAAUAACAAGUAAUUAAAACAAUUUAAUUUAUAAGUCAUGCCUCUACCAAAAGAUUAACUAUCAUAUACAUGAUGUACUAACAUCACAUGUUCAAUUAUAUGCCAAUGCCAGUUUACAUGCAUAUUCAAUUUACUAUAAUGCCACAAAGAGUAAAUCAUACUGUUCAUUGCUAUUUUAACCACGCAUCUAUACUAAUCAACGUAGGUGUAGGUUUACUACCACUAGAGUUGUCAAUGUCAUAAUGUCCCACAAAAUGUCCAAGUACUAUGAAUACAUCAAGUAGCAACAUAAGGUAGCAAACCACAAGUAUAUUCAUCUACUAUAUAUGCAUCAACCACGGUGAUGUACAAUGUCAAGUUAAGUCUCAAUACCCAAUUUACGGGGGACUUACACAUGGUAACGUCCCGGCUCGUGCCAUGCCUAAUGGCCCCGUGGUAGCAUACACUCCCCACGGCGGUCCACUUCGGCGCCCAAUCUUGCACGGGUGAUCUAUUGUCGCAAGGCUAACUCCAGAGUGCCGGCUUGUAGGAAGUGACCCUCACAAGCAUAUGCGAAUGAGCACAAGCGCAAGCAAGCGUGUAAAGAGAGGGUGGAGAGAAAGUCACCGAGCAUGCACCACUAUACGACUUCGGAUCAAAGUACCCACCUGUACGAAUAUCGCGCAUGUCUCCCGACUACGGAAGAACGACAAUUGAACCUAUGAAGGGUCCACCGGUUUAGUAUCCAACCCACAUAUACGAAACACAAAGUCACAUUCCCAACAGUAAACCCACGGGAAUCGGUUUCCCUACACCGAUUACCGUAACUCGCCGGAAGUCCCGAAAAUCGCAUCGGGACUCCGCCGAGACCCACGAACUGUCCCGGAACUCACCGACUCGUGCCACGAGUCACCCGCUCCCACAAAACACGAUAAUUUGAGUGACCUGGCAGCAAACAUAUAUCCUCACAUCGAAACUAUUAUCGUCGGAAUAUCGUUCCAAUCCGGGUUCCCGGAAGUGUCAAUUUCAACACCGGAACCCACCGUCGCUCACCCGUCAUUUCCGAACCCUCGAAAUAAUUCGGGUGACGAACCAACAAGGCUCAGUGACCACAUAAUUUACUGUGAGGCACCAUCGUAAGAAUUCUGAUAUGAAAUCGUGUUUCGUAGGCGAAUUUUACCAAAAAAUGCACCGGAAAUCAACAUUCGAUUUCUAGAAAGGCUUGGGGCCUUGGACAACCAGUCCAGAUGUCACCCAAUACUCACAUAUGCUGCCAACAGUAAUCACGAAAUGUAAAAUCGCAUAUAAGCCCCUGUUACUACAUAAAAUCACAUCAUUUUAUGUGAUUUUUUAUGGUGCGCAAACCGAAGACUUUUGAGCCUGGCCGAGACACCCGCUGACAGGUAUCGACAUGCCGAAGUUCGUGCUCACGCUUCGGAGCACAACCGACCACUGUGGGAGGCGCGAGAGCGACUCGAAGUUCAGUGAACACUGCGCGCUGAAACUAAAAUGCUUCUAAUUCGCUCCUCCAACGCUCGUUGACCCUAAAUGAGGUGAGCAUUGUGAUCAGCAUUGACCGACGAUCACCGUGCACACCUCCGGAGGCAUCGAAACAGCCUCGGGUCGCCGGAACAGUGACCUAAACAGGAAAUAGUGCACAAACUAGCUUAUUAAAGUUUACCGGGCCAAGGGGAGCAAGGGCACGGCCGGCGGGGGCCCGGCGGCGAGCUCACAGGCGGCAGGAGGGUUCGGGCGAUGGAGAGAGGCUGGGGCGCGCAUCGAAUGGCGACGAGAGGCGGCGACCGCGGCGGGAAUUGAUGCCCUAGCUGCAAGCACGAACCUAGAGCAUAGCUCAUAUUCGGCCGGCAGGGGGCUCCGGCGGCGGGAGCGCCGGCGGCAUACGGGUGUAGCCCAGCUCCUUACGGUAGAAGAAAAGGGAGUGCAGGCGGCGGCGGAAGGCGGCAAUCGUGUGCGCUGGAGCAAACCAGCCCCACAUGGGCUUGGCUCGAGUUCUGUAGGGUCGCAAGCAGCCAGGGCGGCGGCCGGGAAGAUAUGAGACGACGGCGUAGGAGUCGCAAGAGGCCGAGGAAUGCGACUCGGCCACCCAAGGCGGCGGGACGUUGAGGGAAAAGAAGAUGGCAUUCCUCGACCCGAAGUGCUCCAGGCUGGCGGCAGGUCACCAGAGCAGGCGCGACGCGCACAAGGGCGGCGGCGACCGACGGGGGAGGUCGCCGAGGGUUAGGGGAGGGCGGGGCAGCUGGCCCAAAGCGACAGAAACGCGCAGGCCAAGAGUAAUUAUGGCCUCGACCCGAGCUUGGCCAGCCUGGACGUAGGCUGCCAGGGCGGUAGCAGCUGCGUGCGGGGGUGGCGGCGACCGACAGGGGAGGGUCGCCAACGGUCAGGCACGGCCAGGGAAGGAGCCCAAGGUGUGAGGAUCCUUCCCGGUGGUCCACAGCAGAGAUGGAGGAGAUCUUGUUGAGAAUAAGGAGAGGAAGACAAUGCCGGCAUUUUCGACGACCGAAGGUGCUCGCCGACGGCCGGGGUGCGUGCGGCGAGGGCAGGGAAGGGAAAUCGAGGUGGCAGGGGGCGCAGCUCAGGGUGGCACAGCUCAGGUUAGUGUUUCAAGCAUGAGAACCCUAAUGCAAAUAUAUAUACAAGCUAGCCAAUUACAGUUUAAUCCUCCUUAGAUGGAUAAUUUCAGCCAAGCCCUCCAUAGCAUGUCUAUCUCGCGCGUACGCACCUCAACGUUCGAAAUCGCGUAAAAUGGUACAUAAAAUAUAGGGCUUUUCGCGACUUUUCCAUUUUACCAAUUUUGACUCCUCAACAAACAUUAAGCGAUUUACGGAGAUCCGUCUGUCAGAUUUGCGAACGGAUUGCACCAGUGCAAUCAACACGACAGAUACAUCAAACCCACGAUCUUGUUUCGCCUGGUUUGGUCACGGAUUCGCGACAAAGCCCAUCCUCUCUCCAAAAGGCAAAACUACACGCAAAUACAUAAAAUAUAUGUAUCUCCAAUUUUCUCAAAAUUCGUGCGUCAAGCCUAAAAUCCGUCAGUGCCAUUGGUUCCAGAAUAGUCGAACCAUUGAAAACGUGCUAUUGGAUCGCUACGAACAGAGUCCGAUAAACGCCAGAAGCCAACUCUACACCGUGGCCUCGCUGGAAACCCAGGUUACUAUUCACUUUAAGUGAAAAGUAAAGAUCACGUAAAAUCUCCAUUCUGACUCGUUUUUCCCCAAAACUUGUCGAGUGCUUUUGUAAUUAAAAUACACAUAAAAACAUCGUCAACAGAGAGUUUAGCUACACUGUCAAAAUCUCAGUCCUUACAUCAUCCCCCUUUUUAAAGAAGUUUCGUCCCCAAAACACACCAAACACAGCUAUAGUGCCAUAGCAGGAAAGCCCCUAAACUUGAGUACCAGCACUCACCUUGGAGGCUACAACCUCCCACCAGGACGAACUAUAACCAAACAAAGCCAAAUCUUAAUCAUCGGAACCCGCCGAUGAAAUCCGACUCACUUAGGUCCAAGACCUAACCUUCCGCCUAAACCAAAAGGUCUAAGGCUGCCAUUACCAAUUGAGCUCAAUAAUUUUGUCUUCUCAAUAACUUAAUCCGGUACAAUCAAGCCAACAUAUGCUCCUUGCAAAUCCAUCACUUGAUGCACAAGGUUGCCAAUCGCAAGAUGCGACAGUUAUUAUAGGUGAUGCCUAAUACCUGUCUCCACGAGACCCUGUCGCUACCGUCUGAAAAGGACCCUAGCGAUCAAUGUUCUCAGCAAUACCAAACACCUGUCUCAUUGAGACCCAGGUGCACCUGUCACCAAAUAAUCAGACAAGCAUACUAUUCCAAGGUUUGCACGAUAAGCCGAGACGCAAACCUUCUACGCUAUCACAUACCGUGACAAUCAAAGCCAACAACCAAGCUUAAGCCACUCAUCAACUGUGAUUCCAAACCUCUCGGCAAAAGGCCGAGACUACUAACCAAACGAACCUUUUAGUUGUGACCGACCCAAUCCAAAAGUCCCAAACGGGGAAAAGGUAUUUCGUCCCAACUUUCGACAGUACAUUGUUUGCAGCCAAUGUAUUUAUCAAAAGAAAAGCGAAAUACUCGAAGAUCCACUACCAACGAUAAGUUGGAAGCGCGACACAUCGAAAUAUCAAACCACUUGAUACAUCUUUAUUGAACCGAAAAUUCACAACCAAAAUCGUCGAAACAUCGACUUUGCAAGUCGACAUUCGAAAUCAGAUUAUCUUUGAACCAACUCACUUAGAGCCCCCUAGCUUUCAACUUCCAAAAGCUGCUAGAGAUACUGAGCCGCGAACCGCACAAACUGAGGCUUUAGGAAACGAUUUUUCUAACCGAUUUUCGCACCAAGUUCAACAUGCAUAGUUCAUCUGUAAGAUAUGGAUCCCGAGGAUCUAAAAGGUAAGUAACACCUAGAGGGGGAUGAAUAGGUGUAAAAACGGCAAACUCAAAAAUCUCGAUAUAAAUAAAACAAAAUAGCGGAAAAUAAAACAGCACACCGAGAAUUUAGCGUGGGAAAACUCCAACUCGGAGUGAAAAACCCACGGGACCGAUCACGCGAAGAAAAUCCACUAAGAAAACUUGAGUACAAGUGAUUUUAAUAAAAAUACAUGACUCAAUUUACCGAAUUCCCAUUGAUGGUCAUCUUCGCCGGUCCUCGAUUGAUAGGAAUCCUCCAAUCGACCUCGCCACAACUCCUUGCAGCGUCAACGCCUCAACUCCUCGAAGCGUCCACCGAAUCCUUGGCUUCACACGAGAUCCACACGCCGAAUCUCCUUCCGGAGCUUGUAGAAUCGAAGAUUUGUGGUGAUUAAGCCUUAGAAUCCCAUAAGCGAUAAGGGUCUACCUUUUAAUCAAACAUCUACUUGAUUCUCGUAUAAGUUCAUGAGUAAAAACGAAGAAUCAAGUCGAUCGUUGAUUAUUAGAAACUUGUUAUUGAAAUAGAACCAUAAGAACGGAAAAACAAGUUUCUAGGGUUUAGAAUGAGUAGAAAUUCAAAGCCUUAAACUUUAAGAUGACCCCCAUGGCUUAUUUAUAUGUUUAGAAGACUUAAAAGUAGACUAGGAUUGCAAAAAGUCCUUUUUAAAAAACUUGUGUCGUCCUCAGGGACCGGUCCUCUCGAGGAGACCGGUCUGUGAGAGACCGGUCUCUCAAGUGAGGAACCGGUCCCUCGCUGCGUGACCAAAAAUCACAAUGUUCGGGAACCGGUCACUCAUCUCAGGGGACCGGUUGCAUCAAUAUUCACGCAGUGAGGACCUUAGGGGAACCGGUCUCUUCAACUCUGGGACCGGUCCCAGAAUACAGAAAAGUUCAGUAAAUGAGUUUUAAAGUAAUCUAAGUCUUCUAAACUUAUUCCAAUUAAGUACCUUCACCACAAAUGAUCUAUUCUUCAUACCUGAGGUGCCGAGCUUUCCGAAUGAGUCUUUGUUCUUCUAUUUGAAUCUUUUCUUCAAAACUUCCGUGAUCAACUCUUCAAGACUCCAUUCAACUUUACGAAAUCCGCCAACCUAUAAAAUCCUUAACAAUCUCCCCUUUUGGCGAUUUCGUGACAAAAUAUACUACAAUGCUCGUACACAACUAGAAACAAUAAAAAGAAGAUCAUCGCAAUCACCAAACGAUAAUCUCCUGCAUGAUCGAUCCAAUAAAAGAAAAUUACAUUUUUCACAACCUUAAUACAGACUGUAUGACUUAGACAUGGAGUCUUGAAGUCUUGAAUAUUCCUGCAAAAACAUUCUUAAAACACAAUCAAAAUUCAAGCAUACUUAUCAUAAAAGAUCAAACAUAAACGUCAAAUCAAUCAAAGCAACAAGUCAUAGUUCAUAGAUCAUCUAAGUCAUAGUCAAGCAUCUAAGUAAACAAAUUUACACAACUAAGCUAAGUGCAUCAAAAAGACAUAGUCAUCAUCAGACAUCAUCAUCAUCAUGAGCCAUUGCCAUCAUAUCAUCUCCCCCUUUUUGUCAGAAAGCGCCAAAAUGACAAAAGGAGGAACCCCGCACAGUCAGUCAGAGUCGUCACCCUGCGGAGGAAGAUCUGAGCUGCAACAACCUAAUUUGUCAAAGAUGGCCUUCAUCAAACGCUUGAUUUUGCUCACAUCCUUCCGUAUCACAGCUUGCUCCGCAGACAGUUUCUGAAGCUCUUCAGAUAAACGUUGUUGCUCACGAUACACAGAGGAAACUGAGACAUCUUCCUCGAAAAUGUCCAUAGAAGGACAUGAAGAAGUAGCAAUAGCAGGAGGUAGAGCAGCAGGACGGGAAGAAGCGCGCUGAGACGGAGUGUGAAGCUGCACAGAGGACUUCACGAACGUCCUUUCAUUGAUCCGUCCCAAGCUAUACUCAUACGAUGCGCAACGAACAUCCACCUCAUGAAGUCGUAGAAUCCUCAUGAUAAUCAAUGGAAAUGGCAACCUUUCAUUCUGUCCUGAAGUCUUGAUGUCCUUUGCCAUUCUCUGCCAGAUCAAAAAUGGAAUAUUCAUGUUAAUAUUCUUUGCACUUACAAUAUCCGGCCUACCCAAGAGAUACAUGUACAGGAUGCGAUCCCAUCUCAAAAUCUUCGUGUUUGCGAGAGGCAAAAUGUUGUAGCAAACCACGAAGUUCAAAAACCUGUACUCCAUUUUGAAAUCCUUCGACAAAACCAUAAUUCCGUUUGACUCUAUUCCCAGCAUGCAAAUAGAGUUCACGACACGGUCCCAAUCGCGAAGUGAGUCGAACCUGGCCUACAGAUACUCCACUCCCUCAGUCCUUGCCUCCAUUCCUAGCACAGACGCUAUCGUAUCGGGAGUGAUUGAUAACUCAACACCACGAACGGAAGUAGUGAAUACGUACGGGCCGCCAUCGGAGUUACUCAAGUGACCAGCUCUCAUAUAGAAUUCUCUAAUCAGCUCCAAACAGAAACCAGUUUGUUCCGAAAAAUCACAAAUCUGAUGAAGAUUUCCUUUUUCAAAUAAAUCCUGAAAUCCCGGCACACAGUCAAUGAUACUGGCAACGCGAACAUCGCGCUCACCAAUUCAGUGCUUCGACGAAUACAUUGACCUUCGAGCAGACGGAACAUCCUGCAGACUGUGACGCGGAGGCUCAGAACCUGGUUCUCUAAUUUCAACACCUCUAGACUUGCGACGACCGGUAUGUUCAGAUGCCUUUCCUUUUCCUUUGUCCUGGGCUUUGCCUUUCCCUUUAUCAACAGCUUUUCCUUUGCCCUUUCCUUUUCUUAUAUCCUUAUCCUUAGCUAACAAGAUCACAACACAAAAAUGCAGAUUCACCUAGAUCUCUAGAACAAACAUCAAAAAAUCUAAAAAAUAAGCAUAUUUUCGGAAUAUAUGAGAUAAAUGCAAUAAAAUGCGAAGAUCAUACCUAAAACCAGAGCAAAUCGAUGAAAAAUGUAGGCAAAACCACUCUGGAGGCAAGAGAGACGCAAGGGAGGAAGCAGGAAAAAUUUUGAAAAUAGUACACAAAAGAUCGAGCAGAAACCCUUUAUCGAGUCGGGCGGAGGGACCGGUCUCUCCUGCCUGGGACCGGUCCCAGAGCUUGAAAUUUUGAAAAAAUUUUAAUUGAAGCCCAAAAUUUCCAGAAAAAUUAUAAGUUAUUCCAUAAUGUUCAAUCAUCAAAAAUAACCAAUUUCCAUCCCCAAAAACUUCAAAUAAAAUUUCAUAAAUAAAUUUUGAAAAAUCAAUUUCAAGGAUAUUUAAAUUGUCAAAAUUGUUGACCUGAAAAUCAAUGAAAAUUCUAGAUACAUAUAAAAUAAAAUCCCACACAUCAUGCAAGAUCUAGGAAUUUAUUGUAUCAUUUUAUCAUCAUAUUCGUUAAAGAAAAUGUAUAAAUAAUUCUCAGAAUCGUGAAAUUAAAAUAAUAUGUUCAAAUUGAGUUAUGCACAAUAUUCGAGACAGGAGUGGCUCUUUGAGCAUCUUUUUUGUUAUUAACAUUCCACCUUAUAUCACCUACGAGAAGUACAGCUUUUUGAGCUUUUUUUUUUUAAAGUACUUUCCUUUUGUCUUAUAGAGAUACUUCAAUCAACAUGUGGUAGCUGCACACACUGACCGGACGACCGGGGUGGUAGCUCUUUCCUCCAUGUGGUGGUAGUUUUCACACUCCCAGCAGGGAUGUAAUUCUUUCCACAUCUUGAAUUUCAGAAAUUUUCAUAACCAAAAUCGGAAAGACUCCCCCUAAAUUAAUGCAACCCUCAAGUCAAAAAUAUUAUUGCGAUUUCAAAAACAGAGAAAGAGUUAUUCAUCUCAUAACUAAUAAUCAAACAAACAAUUGCAACAUUCAAAGUUCGAAGCAUGAGGUGUUGAAUUUGAUUCAGUAUGCUAAACAGAAUUUCAAUGAUUUGAUCGUUCAAGAAUUAUGACAAUAGAGAACAACCUUGAUAAUGAUCAAUCAAAAACUAAAUAUGAAAUAAUUAAAGUCAAACAAUUGAGCUAACACAGACCAAAUCAUCUCCCAAAAAAACAGCAACAUUAUUCAAGAAAUUCAAUCCUCUCUCAAGCAUAAACAGGAAAUACUGGAAACCAUGCACAUAAACAAAAUGCAACAUGCACAUGAUCUAUGGCCCAAUAGAAUAUAACUAUAUUGAAGGAUUCAUACCAAUAGCCUUUCUUAAAUGCAGAAAACGUUUUUGAUCCAAAGGUUUGGUUAAAAUAUCUGCAAGUUGAUUUUCAGUCGAAAUAUAUUCAAGUUGAAGAACGUUUGAUUCAAUCAGUUCUAUUAAAAAGUGAUAUCUUAGUUCAAUAUGCUUUGUUCGUGAAUGUAAAAUAGGGUUUUUAGAAAUAUUUAUUGCACUUGUGUUGUCACAAAGAAUAGUAAGAGUGGUGGAAGGGAUCCAAUAGUCGCUCAGUAAGCUUUUCAUCCAAAUCAAUUGAGUAGAGCAACUCCCGGCCGCAAUUUAUUUAGCUUCUGCAGUGGAAAGUGCAAUACAGUUUUGUUUCUUACUGUGCCAAGCAACCAGACAGUGUCCAAUGUAAAAACAAGCUCCACUAGUACUUUUUCGAUCAUCUGCGGAGCCUGCCCAGUCAGCAUCUGAGUAGCCGAUUAGAUCAAGAGAUGUUCCCAUAGGAUACCAGAGGCCUUACGCGGUUGUACCUUUAACGUAUCGAAUGAUCCUUUUAACCGCUUUCAGAUGUACUUCCUUAGGGUUAGCUUGAUAACGAGCACAAAUUUCAACACUAAAAGCAAUAUCUGGUCUGCUCGCAGUCAAGUACAAUAGGCUACCAAUCAUGCUUCUGUAUUGUUUCUCAUCCACACUCUGGCCUUCUGAAUUCAAUCCAAGACCUUUGUUACUUGUACCCAUUGGAGUGUCAAAAUCCUUUGCAUUGUCCAACCCAAAUUUUUUAACCAAAUCUUUCGCAUAUUUGGAUUGACACAAGUGAAUUCCAUCUUUAGUUUGUUUAACUUGAAGUCCAAGGAAAUAAUUAAGCUCCCCCAUCAUCGACAUCUCAAACUCACUAGUCAUCAAUUUUGCAAAAUCAUUGGCAUCCUUAUCUUUAGUUGCCCCGAAGACUAUGUCAUCAACAUAAAUUUGUGCCACAAUGAAAUCAUUCUUUAAGUGUUUUACAAAGAGAGUUCUAUCCGCUCCCCCUCGGUUGUAGCCCUUUUCCAAAAGAUAUUUUGUCAAGCGCUCGUACCAUGCUCGCGGAGCCUGUUUUAAUCCAUAAAGUACCUUUUUCAGUCGAAAAACGUGAUUUGGAAAUUUUGAGUCUAUGAAACCUUUCGGUUGUUCAACAUAGACUUCCUCUUUUAAAAAUCCGUUUAGAAAUGCACUUUUGACAUCCAUUUGAAAAAGAGUGAUUUUAAAAUAGCAGGCGAUCGCGAACAAAAUACGAAUUGAUUCAUGACAAGCAACCGGGGCGAAGGUUUUAUCAAAAUCUAUUCCCUCAAUUUGUGAGUAGCCCUGAGCAACAAGUCUCGCUUUAUUUCGAACAAUAGUACCAUCCUCAUUUUUCUUAUUAUUAAAUAUCCAUUUGGUACCUAUUAUGUGUUGUUGCUCAGGACGCGGCACUAAUUCCCAUACAUCAUUGCGAACGAAUUGACCGAGUUCUUCUUGCAUGGCAUUUAUCCAAUAUUCAUCACGUAGAGCUUGAUCUAUAUUCUUUCGCUCAAUCAGAGAAACAUAACACGCAAAUUCACAUUGAAGUUGACUUUUUGUUCGCACACUAACAUUAGGAUCUCCUAUGAUAUUUGAUAAAGGAUGAUCUCGAUUCUGACAGGGAUGUAGUCUCAGGAGAGAUGCUAGGGAUUUCAGAUGAGAUGCUUUGAGGCUCAGAUGAAUCAUUUGAUGAAACAUUUUCAGAAGAUGCAAUGGAAUUAUCAAGUGCAAAAAUAUCAUCAUUCACAGGCAAUACAAACGGAGAAUCAUUAUCAUCAUCAUUCACCAAAGAGUUAGAAGAACCAUUCACAGAAGAACUUACAGAAAAAGCUUCAUCUAUUUUUAUAUUAAUAGAUUCUAUCACCGUCUUAGAUUGUAAGUUGUACGCACGGUAAGCACAACUUGUAGUAGAAUAACCAAGAAAGAUGCCUUCGUCACUUCGAGAGUCAAAUUUUUCAAGAUUUUCACGAUCCCGAAGGAUAAAACAUUUACUCCCGAAGACACGAAAGUAUUUAAUAUUAGGUUUUCUACCAAGCCAAAGUUCAUACGGAGUAUUCAAAGUACCCGGACGCACAUAAAUCCGAUUGAUAACAUAGACAGCCGUGUUAACUGCUUCGGCCCAAAAGUGUAAAGCAAUUUUCUUACUAUGAAGUAUAACACGAGCCAUCUCCUGUACAACCCGAUUCUUGAGUUCAACCACACCGUUUUGUUGGGGUGUAUAAGGAGCCGAGAAUUCAUAUUUUAUACCAUUUGAAACACAAAAAUCAACAAAUUUUGAAUUUAUGAAUUCCUCCCCUUGAUCACUUCGAAUAUGUACAAUUUUAUCAUUCCGUUCAGUCAUAAGACUAAGACAGAUUUCAAAAAAAGAAUCAAAAGUAUCAGCUUUUUCUCGUAAGAAAGCACUCCAUACAAAACGAGUAAAAUCAUCAACAAUAAGCAAGAUAUAUCGUUUUCCACCCAAACUUUGAAUUCUAGAUGGUCCCAUCAAGUCCAUGUGAAGUAACUCUAAAGGUUUAGAUGUCCCUAAGUGGUUCAAAUUCUUAUGUGCGGAUCUAGUUUGUUUCCCCAAUUGACAACCCCCACACACAAUAUUCUCUUUGAAGUCUAUCUUAGGUACACCUCUAACAACCUCCUUCUUUGUUAUCUUUGAUAGCUCCUUAAAGUUUAUGUGACCUAGUUGUUCAUGCCAUAAAGUUUCAGUCUCUAAUGACGCUAAGUUACAAUGUUUAGUCGAAGAACUAGGAACUACAUAACAGUUAUUCUGAGAUCUAAUGCCCUUCAAGAAAAGAUUAUCAUCUCGAGUCACAUGGUAUUCUUUAUCAGAAAAAUUCACAGAAUACCCAUCAUCACACAGUUGGCUUAUGCUUAAAAGAUUAGAUUUAAGCCCCUCAACAUAGAAAACAUCGCUCAAAGUAGGGCCAUCUGAGAUAGUCACUGUUCCUUUUCCAACGAUUUUUGACGACCGACCGUCUCCAAAAACAACAAGACCUCCAGAGAUUUUAUUUAAAGAAGUAAACCAAUUUUUAUCACCGGUCAUGUGACGGGAACAACCACUAUCCAGAUACCAUGAAGUGUUAUCGUAAGCAUGAAGCGAAGUGUGAAUGACUAGGCAUGGGAAGAGUUCACCUUUGCGCACCCAAACCUUACGUGUUUUGGGUUGCGUCGGUUCGCUUGCUUUUGAUGAUCGUGGCUUGUCGAUGAUUUGAAUUGACUUCUUCUUCAUAUCCUCCUUCUUUGGUUUCCAUGCCUGUUUUGCCUUUGAUUUCAGAGCAUUUGGAGUCCAAGUUUGUCUCUUCUUAUGAUCAACCUUCUUUGGAGUCCAAGUUGACUUCCCUUUCGAUUUAGGAUCAUUCUUCAUGAGUGAUGUUCUUUGAUUCAAGGGUGUUGAUGAGCUCUUUCCCUUUUGUUUACAGAAUUUCUUUAUGUGUCCUAAAGCACCACAAAUAUGACAAGUUUUAUUAGUCAAAUUAUUUUUAGGAGGGACGAACUUACCAUAGAGCUUAGGAACUCCUUUUGUCAAAUGUUCAUCAUCUUUCUUCGUUGCUUGGUCAAUAUAUGUCCGUUCGUACCCAAGUCCAAGUUUAUUUGUUUAACCAAGUCCAAGCAUCUUAUCAAGUUUGCUCGAGCCAGACGAAAAUUGGUUCAAAUCCGACUUCAAUUGAAUGAUCAUCUUGGUGAAUUCCAAAUUUGCUUCUCUAGCUUCCAAGUAUUGCUUGGUGAGAAAAUUGAUGUUUUCAACAUGAGUCUCUUUUUCCUUUUCAAGUACCGAACACUUCUCAAAUAAAGAAUUGUAGGCCUUUGUCAAACCAUCUUUUUCUUGUUCUACAUCCUUUGAUAAUGAGGCCAAUCUUGAAUUCUCUUGUUCCAACUCAUGUAGACUCCGCCGUAGCCUCUUGUUAUGUUUUGCCACCUUCUUUGAUUCGACAACCAAUUGUUGAUAUGCUGCGACCAUGUCAUCUUCGUCCGAUUCUUCAUCUGAUGAGUUCUCCGAAAAUGAUUUCUCAUGUAUAGACGACAUAGAGAUGGAAUCUGCAGAUGCUAAACACAUAAAGGUUGAAUCCUGUGCUAUCAGCGCCGUGGCAUUCACAUCCUCAUCACUUGAAGUUGAAUCGUCAGAAGAGGAGUCAUCCCAAGUAAUAGCUUGCAUCGCUUUCUUUUUCAGUAACUUUUUAUUUGGACAGUCCGAUGCAAUGUGGCCAAAUC